rnacentral:rRNA from 1 species
UACAGAGGGUGCGAGCGUUAAUCGGAAUUACUGGGCGUAAAGCGCACGUAGGCGGCUUGGUAAGUUGGAUGUGAAAUCCCCGGGCUUAACUUGGGAAUUGCAUUCAAGACUGCCUUGCUCGAAUGUGGAAGAGGGAAGCGGAAUUCCAGGUGUAGCGGUGAAAUGCGUAGAUAUCUGGAGGAACAUCAGUGGCGAAGGCGGCUUCCUGGUCCAACAUUGACGCUGAGGUGCGAAAGCGUGGGGAGCAAAC